rnacentral:rRNA from 1 species
CCCUUAGAUGUUCUGGGCCGCACGCGCGCUACACUGUUUGAUUCAGCGAGUCUUAACCUUGACCGAAAGGUUUGGGUAAUCUUCUAAAGUCAAACGUGAUGGGGAUCGAUCAUUGCAAUUAUUGAUCGUGAACGAGGAAUUCCUAGUAAAUGCAAGUCAUCGGCUUGCGUUGAUUACGUCCCUGCCCUUUGUACACACCGCCCGUCGCUACUACCGAUUGAAUGGUUUAGUGAGAUCUCCGGAUUGGCUCUGUAGGUCCCGCAAGGGAUUUAUUAGUAGCCAAGAAGCUGCUCAAACUUGAUCAUUUAGAGGAAGUAAAAGUCGUAACA